rnacentral:rRNA from 1 species
UACGGAGGGGGCUAGCGUUGUUCGGAAUUACUGGGCGUAAAGCGCACGUAGGCGGACUGUUAAGUCGGGGGUGAAAUCCUGGGGCUCAACCUCAGAAUUGCCUCCGAUACUGGCAGUCUGGAGUGCGGGAGAGGUGAGUGGAAUUCCCAGUGAUAGAGGUGAAACUCGUAAGAUAUUGGGAAGAACACCAGUGGCGAAGGC